UAGGGAAUAUUGGUAAUGUGCGAAAGCGCGAACCAGCAACGCCGCGUGCACGAUGAAGGCCUUCGGGUUGUAAAGUGCUUUUAGAGAGGAUGAGGAAGGACAGUACUUUCUGAAUAAGCCUCGGCUAACUACGUGCCAACAGCCGCGGUAAAACGUAGGAGGCUAGCGUUAUCCGGAUUUACUGGGCGUAAAGCGCGUGCAGGUGGUUUCGUAAGUUGGAUGUGAAAGCUCCUGGCUUAACUGGGAGAGGUCGUUCAAAACUGCGAGGCUUGAGAGUGGUAGAGGGAGGUGGAAUUCCGGGUGUAGUGGUGAAAUGCGUAGAUAUCCGGAGGAACACCAGUGGCGAAAGCGGCCUCCUGGACCAUUUCUGACACUCAGACGCGAAAGCUAAGGUAGCAAACG
rnacentral:rRNA from 1 species